rnacentral:rRNA from 1 species
GACGAACUGUCCUACCGUUGUUCGGAAUCACUGGGCUUAAAGGGCGCGUAGGCGGUCCGACAAGUCAGGGGUGAAAUCUUGCAGCUUAACUGUAAAAGUGCCUUUGAUACUGUCGGUCUUGAGGGAAAUAGGGGUGUGCGGAACUUCCAGUGGAGCGGUGAAAUGCGUUGAUAUUGGAAGGAACGCCGGAGGCGAAAGCGGCGCACUGGAUUUCUUCUGACGCUGAGGCGCGAAAGCUAGGGGAGCAAACGGG